UACGGGGGGGAGCAAGCGUUGUUCGGAUUUACUGGGCGUAAAGGGCGCGUAGGCGGCGUGACAAGUCACUUGUGAAAUCUCCGGGCUUAACUCGGAACGGUCAAGUGAUACUGUCGUGCUAGAGUACAGAAGGGGCAACUGGAAUUCUCGGUGUAGCGGUGAAAUGCGUAGAUAUCGAGAGGAACACCUGCGGCGAAGGCGGGUUGCUGGGCCGACACUGACGCUGAGGCGCGAAAGCUAGGGGAGCGAACGGG
rnacentral:rRNA from 1 species